AUUGAACGCUGGCGGCAGGCCUAACACAUGCAAGUCGAGCGGAUGAGAGGAGCUUGCUUCUCGAUUCAGCGGCGGACGGGUGAGUAAUGCCUAGGAAUCUGCCUGGUAGUGGGGGACAACGUUUCGAAAGGAACGCUAAUACCGCAUACGUCCUACGGGAGAAAGCAGGGGACCUUCGGGCCUUGCGCUAUCAGAUGAGCCUAGGUCGGAUUAGCUAGUAGGUGAGGUAAUGGCUCACCUAGGCGACGAUCCGUAACUGGUCUGAGAGGAUGAUCAGUCACACGGGAACUGAGACACGGUCCAGACUCCUACGGGAGGCAGCAGUGGGGAAUAUUGGACAAUGAGCGAAAGCCUGAUCCAGCCAUGCCGCGUGUGUGAAGAAGGUCUUCGGAUUGUAAAGCACUUUAAGUUGGGAGGAAGGGCAGUAAGCUAAUACCUUGCUGUUUUGACGUUACCGACAGAAUAAGCACCGGCUAACUCUGUGCCAGCAGCCGCCGUAACAC
rnacentral:rRNA from 1 species